GAUGAACGCUGGCGGCGUGCCUAAUACAUGCAAGUCGAGCGAAGCGGGGACGGGUGAGUAACACGUGGGUAACCUCCUAUAAGACUGGGAUGACUUCGGGAAACCGGAGAUAAACCGGAUACUUAUAGGUGGAUCCUCGCUGCAUUAGCUUGUGGGGAAGGUAACGGCUUACCAAGGCAACGGUGCAUAGCCGACCUGGGAGGGUGAUAGGCCACCCGACAACUGAGCCACGGUCCAGACUCCUACGCGAGGCAGCAGUAGGGAAUCUUCUGCUAUGGGCGAAAGCCUGACGUAGCCCCGCCGCGUGAGUGAUGAAGUUCUUCGUCUAUUAAACCUCUGUUAUUAUUGAAGCGGUACCUAAUCAGAAAGCAACGGCUAACUCCGUGCCAGCAGCCGCGGUAAUAC
rnacentral:rRNA from 1 species